UCGGAUAUGGUGUAACGGCUAACAUUGCCGCCUUUCAUUUCUUGCUAUGCGUAGCCUUUCGCGCCAGCUCGGGGUUCGAUUCUCCGUAUCCGAA